rnacentral:rRNA from 1 species
UACGAAGGGUGCAAGCGUUACUCGGAAUUACUGGGCGUAAAGCGGGCGUAGGGGGUUGUUUAAGUCUGUUGUGAAAGCCCUGGGCUCAACCUGGGAACUGCAGUGGAAACUGGACGACUAGAGUGUGGUAGAGGGUAGCGGAAUUCCUGGUGUAGCAGUGAAAUGCGUAGAGAUCAGGAGGAACAUCCAUGGCGAAGGCAGCUACCUGGACCAACACUGACACUGAGGCACGAAAGCGUGGGGAGCAAACAGG